CGGCCAGUUCUGGUACACGUGAAUAGUAUUGCGUUGGACUCUGUUUUUCCUUUCUGAACUUUCUUAUUUCUCCAUGGCACAGAUUCAGCAACAUGUUGGAAACCUUGCUCAGAGAUUCUGGUCCAUGUUAACAUUACAGUAUUACUCAGUUGCUGCAUUUUUUAUCAGCUCCACCAUAUCCCAAAGGUGCUCUGUUGGUUUGAGAUCCAGUGAUGGUGUUUUUUUUCAAGGUGUCACUGACAUCCAUCAGAAGACGGGUACACUCGGUCAAAAAGGGAUGACCGUAGUCAGCAACAAUACUCAGGCUCCCGCCGCUGGCCCACACACCUGCUCUCAUCACCGCACCGGCCGCUGAUUCCAGCUGAUUGCAGUACUACUUAAGAUGGUGGAUAUACACCAGUCUUCCCUGGAUCGUUGAGCUAUCACCAUCAUUUCUGGAACCCGACUACGAGAGGAGUGACAGAGGGCGUGGAGCAUUUUUUCCCUGAUCCCCGUCCCCCCACGGACCCUGGCGACCUGGACCCCCUUUUCCCUGCACAUUGUACAUAGUCACCUGGUGUUGUGUUCACUGUGAAUAAACGCACUGUCUUUCGCUUAAAGGAAAACCCUGGCCUGCGCCUGAGU